rnacentral:rRNA from 1 species
CAGCAGCCGCGGGAAUACGGAGGGUGCAAGCGUUAAUCGGAAUUACUGGGCGUAAAGCGCACGCAGGCGGUCUGUCAAGUCAGAUGUGAAAUCCCCGGGCUUAACCUGGGAACUGCAUUUGAAACUGGCAGGCUAGAGUCUUGUAGAGGGGGGUAGAAUUCCAGGUGUAGCGGUGAAAUGCGUAGAGAUCUGGAGGAAUACCGGUGGCGAAGGCGGCCCCCUGGACAAAGACUGACGCUCAGGUGCGAAAGCGUGGGGAGCAAACAGGAUUAGAGACCCCAGUAGUCCCUGUCUCUUAUAC